rnacentral:rRNA from 1 species
AUUGAACGCUGGCGGAAUGCUUUACACAUGCAAGUCGGGCGGCAGCGCGGGGGCAACCCUGGCGGCGAGCGGCGAACGGGUGAGUAACACAUCGGAACGUACCCUGUCGUGGGGGAUAACGAAUCGAAAGAUUCGCUAAUACCGCAUACGACCUGAGGGUGAAAGCGGGGGAUCGCAAGACCUCGCGCGAGAGGAGCGGCCGAUGGCGGAUUAGCUAGUUGGUGGGGUAAAGGCCCACCAAGGCGACGAUCCGUAGCGGGUCUGAGAGGACGGCCCGCCACACUGGGACUGAGACACGGCCCAGACUCCUACGGGAGGCAGCAGUGGGGAAUUUUGGACAAUGGGGGCAACCCUGAUCCAGCCAUUCCGCGUGAGUGAAGAAGGCCUCGGUUGUAAGUAC